GAUGAACGCUGGCGGCGUGCCUAAUACAUGCAAGUCGAGCGAACAGACGAUGCGCUUGCGGCUCGCACGUGAGCCGCGCACGUGUGUGUCACGCGUGUAUAACCUCCCUAUCUUUCUGGUAACUUUUCGGGAAUCGGGCGCUAAUACCGUAGAAUCUAUUGAACCGCAGGGUUCGUUGGUGAGAGUCGGCUUUUGUGUAUCUUCUAGAUGCUUCCGCGCCGGUUGAGCUGGUUGUGAAGGUAACGGCUUUUCAAGGGUACGAUGCGUAGCCGACCUGAGAGGGUGAUCGGCGACACUGGAGCUGAGACACGGUCCAGAGUCCUACGGGAGGCAGCAGUAGGGAAGCUUCCGCAAUGGGCGAAAGCCUGACGGAGCGGCGCCGCGUGAGUGAUGAAGGUCUUCGGAUCGUAAAACUCUGUUAUUAGGGAAGAACAAAUGUGUAAGUAACUAUGCACGUCUUGACGGUACCUAAUCAGAAAGCCACGGCUAACUACGUG
rnacentral:rRNA from 1 species